GAUGAACGCUGGCGGCGUGCUUAACACAUGCGAGUCGAACGGAACUACUCCAAUGAGAGUCUUCGGAAAGGAUUUGGUUUAGUUUAGUGGCGGACGGGUGAGUAACGCGUGGGUAACCUGCCCUAUACAGGGGGAUAACAGUUGGAAACGACUGUUAAUACCGCAUAAGCGCACAGGAGCGCAUGCUCCGGUGUGAAAAACUCCGGUGGUAUAGGAUGGACCCGCGUCUGAUUAGCUGGUUGGCGGGGUAACGGCCCACCAAGGCGACGAUCAGUAGCCGGCCUGAGAGGGUGAACGGCCACAUUGGGACUGAGACACGGCCCAAACUCCUACGGGAGGCAGCAGUGGGGAAUAUUGCACAAUGGGGGAAACCCUGAUGCAGCGACGCCGCGUGAGCGAAGAAGUAUCUCGGUAUGUAAAGCUCUAUCAGCAGGGAAGAAAAUGACGGUACCUGACUAAGAAGCCCCGGCUAACUACGUG
rnacentral:rRNA from 1 species